rnacentral:rRNA from 1 species
UACGAAGGGGGCUAGCGUUGUUCGGAUUUACUGGGCGUAAAGCGCACGUAGGCGGAUCGUUAAGUCGGGGGUGAAAUCCUGGAGCUCAACUCCAGAACUGCCUUCGAUACUGGCGAUCUUGAGUCCGGAAGAGGUGAGUGGAACUCCUAGUGUAGAGGUGGAAUUCGUAGAUAUUAGGAAGAACACCAGUGGCGAAGGCGGCUCACUGGUCCGGUACUGACGCUGAGGCGACGGAAAGCCAGGGGGAGCAAAACGGGG